rnacentral:rRNA from 1 species
UACGUAGGGUGCAAGCGUUGUCCGGAAUUAUUGGGCGUAAAGAGCUCGUAGGCGGUUCUGUCACGUCGGCUGUGAAAACCCGGGGCUCAACCCCGGGCCUGCAGUCGAUACGGGCAGACUAGAGUGCGGUAGGGGAGACUGGAAUUCCUGGUGUAGGCGGUGAAAUGCGCAGAUAUCAGGAGGAACACCGGUGGCGAAGGCGGCGACCUGGUCCAAUACUGACACUCAUACACGAAAGCGUGGGGAUCAAACAGG